rnacentral:piRNA from 1 species
UCUCUUUCUGUAUCUCCGGGCCUGGUGU